UCCUUUUGUGAGUUUGUAACCUUACCUCUUUCACCUUCUCAGCGCCUCCAAACGACUUAUCCAGAAUUUCUCAUACUUCUUUCGCUGACUCUACGUCACUAACAUUUUCAAAGUUAUCUGCAUCAACACAUUGAUGGAUUAUAAAGAGAGUUUUAUAAUCUUUCUUCUUCAAUUCUUUAUGUGCAACGUUUUCUUGAUCUGUCGCGUUUUCUACAAG
rnacentral:lncRNA from 1 species